rnacentral:tRNA from 1 species
UGGCUGAGGUGGUAGAGCAUGGUGUUUGCAACGCCAGGGUUGUGGGUUCGUUUCCCAC